CGGAGGGAUCAUUAAAGAGUUCUAUAACUCCCAAACCCAUGUGAACAUACCUAACGUUGCCUCGGCAGGUCGCACCUACCUUGUAGCACCCUACCCUGUAGGGCCUACCCGGGAGGUGCGGGUAAGCCUGUCGGCGGCCCACCAAACUCUGUUUGAUAUUGAAUUCUGAACCUAUAACUAAAUAAGUUAAAACUUUCAACAACGGAUCUCUUGGUUCUGGCAUCGAUGAAGAACGCAGCGAAAUGCGAUAAGUAAUGUGAAUUGCAGAAUUCAGUGAAUCAUCGAAUCUUUGAACGCAUAUUGCGCCCAUUAGUAUUCUAGUGGGCAGGACCGUUCGAGCGUCAUUUCAACCCUUAAGCCUUCGUUGCUUAGUGUUGGGAGCCUACGGCAACGUAGCUCCUCAAAGUUAGUGGCGGAGUUGGUUCACACUCUAGACGUAGUAAUUUUUUAUCUCGCCUAUUAGUUGGACUAAUCCCCUGCCGUAAAACCCCCAAUUUAUCAAGGUUGACCUCGAAUCGGUUCAGACAAACUCGCUAAAUUGAAGCAUCUUAGUCAGCGAAGGAAAAGAAACCAACAGGGAUUGCCCUAGUAACGGCGAGUGAAGCGGCAACAGCUCAAAUUUGAAAU
rnacentral:rRNA from 1 species